rnacentral:rRNA from 1 species
UACGUAGGGGGCAAGCGUUGUCCGGAUUUAUUGGGCGUAAAGAGCGUGUAGGCGGUUUGGUAGGUCCGCUGUGAAAACUCGAGGCUCAACCUCGAGACGCCGGUGGAAACCAUCAGGCUAGAGUCCGGAAGAGGAGAGUGGAACCCCUGGUGUAGCGGUGAAAUGCGUAGAUAUCAGGAGGAACACCGGUGGCGAAGGCGGCCCUCUGGACGGUGACUGACGCUGAGACGCGAAAGCGUGGGGAGCAAACAGG